rnacentral:rRNA from 1 species
UCUCAGUUCGGAUUGGAGUCUGCAACCCGACUCCAUGAAGCUGGAUUCGCUGUAAUCGCGCAUCAGCCACGGCGCGGUGAAUACGUUCCCGGGCCUUGUACACACCGCCCGUCAAGCCAUGGAAGCCGGGGGUGCCUGAAGUGCGUGACCGCAAGGGACGCCCUAGGGUAAAACCGGUGACUGGGGCUAAGUCGUAACAAGGUAGC